GUGCUUGCUUCAGCAGCACAUAUACUAAAAUUAGAAUGAUACAGAGAUUAGCAUGACCCCUCCGCAAGGAUGACAUGCAAAUUCGUGAAGCAUUCCGUAUUUUA